CCUUUGACGUUAGCGGCGGACGGGUGAGUAACACGUGGGUAACCUACCUAUAAGACUGGGAUAACUUCGGGAAACCGGAGCUAAUACCGGAUAAUAUUUCGAACCGCAUGGUUCGAUAGUGAAAGGUGGUUUUGCUAUCACUUAUAGAUGGACCCGCGCCGUAUUAGCUAGUUGGUAAGGUAACGGCUUACCAAGGCGACGAUACGUAGCCGACCUGAGAGGGUGAUCGGCCACACUGGAACUGAGACACGGUCCAGACUCCUACGGGAGGCAGCAGGG
rnacentral:rRNA from 1 species